UUCAAUCCCCAUUUAAAUGAUAGACUAGAGAAAAAUAAUAAUUCGCAAUUUCUCUCUCUUUGUUCCUGUCUUCAAUCUGAAGAAUUCUAGGGUUUGCCUUCAUCGAGAGUGUUCGGCGCAAUUACUGUUGAUGACAUUGCUUUUGCUUCCUCGAUUGUUGGAUUUAAUCUGAUCAGGGAUUUGAAAGUUGGGUAUUGAUAGAACUGCAACGAUGAGAUUGAGAAAAGGUAGCAAGGUGGAGGUUUUGAGCAAGAUUGAGUGCUCAGGAUUUGGUUUUCUGCUGA